ACUGCCAUGUGGGGACAAGGGAAAUUCCUCCAAUUCAGUUUCUGAUCUGCUGCCCAACCCUGUUAUGGGCACCAGGCUCCUCUGCUGCGUGGCCCUGUGCCUCCUGGGAGAAGGAGCCCAGCACCCUGAGCAGGGUCAUGCCUAUCCCUGUCCUGCCUGACUCUGCCUGGGGCACCAGGAUCCUCUUCUGGGCUGUCCUUUGUUUCCUGGGAGCAGGUUCAGUGAAUAUUGGAGUCACCCAGUCCCCAAGAUACGUAAUCACAGAAAAGAAGGGACAGGCCACUCUGAAAUGCUAUCCCAUUUCAGGACACAAGAGUGUAUCCUGGUACCAAAAGGCUCCAGACCAGGGCCCCCAGUUCCUUGUUUCAUAUUUUGAAGAGAGCGAGUACUAUAAAGGCAUCAUCUCUGAUCGAUUCUCAGCUAAGCAGUUCAGUGACAACCACUCUGAAAUGAACAUGAGCUCCUUGGAGCUGGGAGACUCUGCCUCGUACCUCUGUGCCAGCAGUUUGGACACAGCCUUGCAGAGCUACUGGCUUUCUGUACCCAAACCUUCCUGUCCCAGCUGA